rnacentral:tRNA from 1 species
GCGCCCGUAGCUCAGCAGGAUAGAGCGGGAGUUUCCUAAACUCUAGGUCGGGGGUUCGAGUCCCUCCGGGCGUA